AUUGAACGCUGGCGGCAGGCCUAACACAUGCAAGUCGGGCGAGUGGCGGACGGGUGAGUAAUGUCUGGGAAUCUGCCUGAUGGAGGGGGAUAACUACUGGAAACGGUAGCUAAUACCGCAUACCAUCAGAUGUACCCAUAUGGGAUUAGCUAGUAGGUGGGGUAACGGCUCACCUAGGCGACGAUCCCUAGCUGGUCUGAGAGGAUGAUCAUCAAAACUGGGACUGAGACACGGCCCAGACUCCUACGGGAGGCAGCAGUGGGGAAUAUUGCACAAUGGGCGCAAGCCUGAUGCAGCCAUGCCGCGUGUAUGAAGAAGGCCUUCGGGUUGUAAAGUACUUUCAGCCGGGAGGCGUUACCGGCAGAAGAAGCACCGGCUAACUCCGUGCCAGCAGCCGCGGUAAUAC
rnacentral:rRNA from 1 species